AUGCGUGACGGCUCAACAAUGCA
rnacentral:siRNA from 1 species